UUACCGUAGGUGAACCUGCGGUAGGAUCAUUG
rnacentral:rRNA from 11 species